rnacentral:lncRNA from 1 species
AUCAGCAGUGUGCCUGAGCUGCAACAGCCUUUUGCUCUAAUCCCAAGGUGAUUCAGUUCAAAUGCCAUACUUUGCUCAGAGGUAUAUCUAAAAUGAGUUUAUCUCAAAAUUCCUGGUUUAGGACCACGUUCUGAAACAGGAAGGGCACUGGCAAGAGAGGGGGAAUUCUUCCUGGAACCUGUCUCCUGCAGCACCAGCUCGCAAUACCCUCCUCUGCUGGAAGAUCCAGGUGAAAAACUUGCUGAAUGGAAAACAGUCACAAACCUUAUUAUGUUUAAGAGGGAUGGAGCUUCUUAAAAAAUAAAAAACACACUUCCAUUAAUGGGAGCUAUGUCAGACUGUGGAAACCUAGGAGAGCUGCUGAGUACCUGGUUUUGUCUGCGGGCUCAGACUGCCUCCUGCCUCUACCUGAGAACAAGACCCAGCUAUGCACUUCUACUGCUCUAUCCUAGUUUCCAUGGGAAGAAGGUGCACAGGGUAGAUGAGACCUGCAGUAUGCUCCAAAAGUGUCUUCUGGACAACACUUUCUUUUGACAACAUUGCAUGUCAUAGUGGGCAAAGAGUAGGCAAAAGCUGGCAAGUUUUCAAGGGCAGUCGAAACCAAGGUUGAGAAAAAUCAUGACUCACCCACUCAUGACUGCUAUGGCAAAACUACUGCAUUGUAAUUUCAUGGGGACACAAAGGCCAAGAGUUAUGUUAUGUUUCACCAGCCAUUUAAAGCUACUAACCUUGAAGGCAAUGGCAGCCGUUGACUCUAGAAGGCUGAAUCUGGUAAGUGCUGAGCAACAGAGCGAAGGGCUGAGCAGCUUUAACUGCCAGUAAAGUCAUCAGGAGAAGAAGGGCUCAGCAUCUCAAGGGUUUGGCCCCUGACUGCUGGUCAUUUAAAACUGUCUGGGCUGAACUGCUGAUUCUAGAAAGGUUACUUGUUAUUGUAGCUUGUUUUAGGUAGCAAAGUAAGGCACCCAGUGACUGUAUAGCUAAUAACUCAAUUUAGGAUCUGAUCUUGAAGAAUGCCUCUAUUCCACUGAACUUCGCUGGGAGCUGAUGACAUCUGGCACUCUGCAGGGUCAAGCCCUGAGAGCAAAGACAAAUGCAAUGCUCCUCAGUUGAUUUAUCACAAAUCUAUGCAGUGAAGAUUGGCUAGCAAUAUAAUAGCCUGAGCUCAGAAUGACAGAUUGGAGCGAUAAAGCCAUUUAAAAGUUAUGAUGCAAUAUGGAGUAUUUAUUGACCUGUGGUGUAUUGUAGCUGCAAUUACAAGGCAUCUGGCAAAAUUCUGUGGUAGGUAGGGACUAAUCUAUAAGCAUGAUUAAUUUCCGUAGUAAUUUGGCUGAAGGUCUGUAAAGCCAAAUUAAUUCUCCUGUUACAACGCUAUGGAGAUAUUCACUUUUUAAGACUAGAAGGUUUAAGCUACACUUUUCUGUCUAUAACAGCUGACCAGUCCCUUGAUUAACACUGAAGUUUUUUCCAGUAGGUUUAAAGUUAUUGAAGCCUAUAUAAUUUGUUCUCAGUCUUUGUUAUAGGCUGCCCUUGGAGCUUUCUUUACCUGAUUUUAAUUAAGAAUAUAUCUGAGCUUGAA